GGGGGAAAGCGGGGGACCGUAAGGCCUCGCGCUAUUGGAGCGGCCGAUGUCUGAUUAGCUAGUUGGCGGGGUAAGAGCCCACCAAGGCGACGAUCAGUAGCUGGUCUGAGAGGACGACCAGCCACACUGGGACUGAGACACGGCCCAGACUCCUACGGGAGGCAGCAGUGGGGAAUUUUGGACAAUGGGCGCAAGCCUGAUCCAGCCAUGCCGCGUGCGGGAAGAAGGCCUUCGGGUUGUAAACCGCUUUUGGCAGGAACGAAACGGCGCAAGCCAAUACCUUGCGCUAAUGACGGUACCUGCAGAAUAAGCACCGGCUAACUACGUGCCAGCAGCCGCGGUAAUACGUAGGGUGCGAGCGUUAAUCGGAAUUACUGGGCGUAAAGCGUGCGCAGGCGGAUUGUUAAGCAAGAUGUGAAAUCCCCGGGCUUAACCUGGGAAUGGCAUUUUGAACCGGCAGUCUAGAGUGCGUCAGAGGGGGGUGGAAUUCCACGUGUAGCAGUGAAAUGCGUAGAGAUGUGGAGGAACACCAAUGGCGAAGGCAGCCCCCUGGGAUGACACUGACGCUCAUGUACGAAAGCGUGGGUAGCAAACAGGAUUAGAUACCCUGGUAGUCCACGCCCUAAACGAUGUCAACUGGUUGUUGGGGGAGUGAAAUCCCUUAGUAACGAAGCUAACGCGUGAAGUUGACCGCCUGGGGAGUACGGUCGCAAGAUUAAAACUCAAAGGAAUUGACGGGGACCCGCACAAGCGGUGGAUGAUGUGGAUUAAUUCGAUGCAACGCGAAAAACCUUACCUACCCUUGACAUGUCCGGAAUCCUGCAGAGAUGCGGGAGUGCCCGAAAGGGAAUCGGAACACAGGUGCUGCAUGGCUGUCGUCAGCUCGUGUCGUGAGAUGUUGGGUUAAGUCCCGCAACGAGCGCAACCCUUAUCAUUAGUUGCUACGCAAGGGCACUCUAAUGGGACUGCCGGUGACAAACCGGAGGAAGGUGGGGAUGACGUCAAGUCCUCAUGGCCCUUAUGGGUAGGGCUUCACACGUCAUACAAUGGUCGGUACAGAGGGUUGCCAAGCCGCGAGGUGGAGCCAAUCCC
rnacentral:rRNA from 1 species